rnacentral:rRNA from 1 species
GAUGAACGCUGGCGGCGUGCUUAACACAUGCAAGUCGAACGGAAAGGCCCAAGCUUGCUUGGGUGCUCGAGUGGCGAACGGGUGAGUAACACGUGGGUGAUCUGCCCUGCACUUUGGGAUAAGCCUGGGAAACUGGGUCUAAUACCGGAUAGGACCAUCGUUUAGUGUCGGUGGUGGAAAGUUUUUCGGUGUGGGAUGAGCUCGCGGCCUAUCAGCUUGUUGGUGGGGUAAUGGCCUACCAAGGCGUCGACGGGUAGCCGGCCUGAGAGGGUGUACGGCCACAGUGGGACUGAGAUACGGCCCAGACUCCUACGGGAGGCAGCAGUGGGGAAUAUUGCACAAUGGGCGCAAGCCUGAUGCAGCGACGCCGCGUGGGGGAUGACGGCCUUCGGGUUGUAAACUCCUUUCGCCAAGGACGAAGCGUUUUGUGACGGUACUUGGAGAAGAAGCACCGGCUAACUACGUG